rnacentral:lncRNA from 1 species
GGGAAAACUGUCUAGGUCUGAGCUGUCCAACACGGUAGCCACUAGCCACAAACGGCUGAAAAGUGAUUGAAAUGUGACAAAGACUAGUGAGAAAAAAGAACAUCAAAUAUUUUGCUAAUAAUUUUAAAAAUAUUGAUUACAUAUUGAAAUGAUAUUAUUAUGAAUACAUUGGGUUAAAUAAAAUACCAUACUGAAACAGAUGUGUUACUGUCUGUUUCUACUUAUUUUUUAAUGUCGCUUCUGGGAUAUUUAAAAUUAUAUAAUAGCUUUCAUUUGUUAACAUUCAUUAUAUUUCUGUAUUGUAGUGCUGGUUGAGAUUUUGUGUGUGUGUGUCUUUUUUUUUUUUGCCUUUUUUUCUAGGGCUGCUCCCACAGUGUGGCCCUAGAAAAGACAAAAAGACCUAAAUAAAUAAAUAAACAAACAAAUAAAUUAAUUAAUAAAAUAAAAGGACUGUGGCUUCCCAAGCUUUUACUCUCAUGAAAGCCCUAAGAUGCCACUAAAGGACUCUGGCUUCCCUGUUGGAGAGACUACAUGGAGAGACCACAUGGAAAGUCCACAUGGAGAGGGAGAACCCUUAAUCCUACCUGGAUACAGGGGUUGGUGGGGGGAUGAGGGAGGAGGGAGAAGCCCAGCCAUCAGCGAAUCGGCCAGCUGAAUGCAGCCCUCCAGUGACCACGAGCAAGAUCAACAGAAGAGCUGUUCAGCUAAGCUUAGCUCAUAUUGUGUAAUAAUGGAAAAAAAAAAAAAA